rnacentral:rRNA from 1 species
GAUGAACGCUGGCGGCGUGCCUAAUACAUGCAAGUCGAGCGAACGGACGAGAAGCUUGCUUCUCUGAUGUUAGCGGCGGACGGGUGAGUAACACGUGGAUAACCUACCUAUAAGACUGGGAUAACUUCGGGAAACCGUAGCUAAUACCGGAUAAUAUUUUGAACCGCAUGGUUCAAAAGUGAAAGACGGUCUUGCUGUCACUUAUAGAUGGAUCCGCGCUGCAUUAGCUAGUUGGUAAGGUAACGGCUUACCAAGGCAACGAUGCAUAGCCGACCUGAGAGUGUGAGCGGCAACACUGAAAUGAAACACGGACCAAGACCACUCGGGGAGGAGAAAGGGGGAAUGUUCCCGGAGGGGGACAAGGUCGGAGAGCGAAACCCGGGGGGGGGAAUAAGGGUUUAAGAAUCUAAAAAUUUUUUUAUUGGGGAAAAACAUAUGUGAAAGUAUGUGUACAAAUCUGAGGGUACAGAAACCAGAGGCCACGGUCAAGCCCGGCC